rnacentral:rRNA from 1 species
UAGGGAAUAUUGGGCAAUGGAGGCAACUCUGACCCAGCCAUGCCGCGUGCAGGAUGAAGGCCUUCUGGGUUGUAAACUGCUUUUAUCUAGGAAGAAAAUACCCUUGCGAGGGGAACUGACGGUACUAGGUGAAUAAGCACCGGCUAACUCCGUGCCAGCAGCCGCGGUAAUACGGAGGGUGCAAGCGUUGUCCGGAUUUAUUGGGUUUAAAGGGUGCGUAGGCGGCUUUAUAAGUCCGUGGUGAAAGCCAACAGCUCAACUGUUGAACUGCCAUGGAUACUGUAAGGCUUGAGUACAGACGAGGUAGGCGGAAUGGAUAGUGUAGCGGUGAAAUGCAUAGAUACUAUCCAGAACACCGAUUGCGUAGGCAGCUUACUAGGCUGUAACUGACGCUGAGGCACGAAAGCGUGGGGAGCGAACAGG